GCCACAGCUCGGGGGUAGAGCAUCUGCUUUGCAUGCAGAAGAUGCCAGAUUCAAUCCCUGGCCUCUCUAGGCA